rnacentral:rRNA from 1 species
CCUACGGGUGGCAGCAGUGGGGAAUAUUGCACAAUGGGGGAAACCCUGAUGCAGCGACGCCGCGUGAGUGAAGAAGUAUUUCGGUAUGUAAAGCUCUAUCAGCAGGGAAGCAAAUGACGGUACCUGUUUAAGAAGCCCCGGCUAACUACGUGCCAGCAGCCGAGGUAAUACGUAGGGGGCAAGCGUUAUCCGGAUUUACUGGGUGUAAAGGGGGCGUAGACGGCAGCACAAGUCUGGAGUGAAAGGCCGGGGCUUAAACCCGGAACUGCUUUGGAAACUGUGCAGCUAGAGUGCAGGAGAGGUAAGUGGAAUGCCUAGUGUAGCGGUGAAAUGCGUAGAUAUUAGGAGGAACACCAGUGGCGAAGGCGGCUUACUGGACUGUAACUGACGUUGAGGCUCGAAAGCGUGGGGAGCAAACAGGAUUAGAUACCCCAGUAGUC